rnacentral:rRNA from 1 species
GAUGAACGCUGGCGGCGUGCCUAAUACAUGCAAGUCGAGCGAACGGACGAGAAGCUUGCUUCUCUGAUGUUAGCGGCGGACGGGUGAGUAACACGUGGAUAACCUACCUAUAAGACUGGGAUAACUUCGGGAAACCGGAGCUAAUACCGGAUAAUAUUUUGAACCGCAUGGUUCAAAAGUAAAAGACGGUCUUGCUGUCACUUAUAGAUGGAUCCGCGCUGCGUUAGCUAGUUGGUAAGGUAACGGCUUACCAAGGCAACGAUGCAUAGCCGACCUGAGAGGGUGAUCGGCCACACUGGAACUGAGACACGGUCCAGACUCCUACGGGAGGCAGCAGUAGGGAAUCUUCCGCAAUGGGCGAAAGCCUGACGGAGCAACGCCGCGUGAGUGAUGAAGGUCUUCGGAUCGUAAAACUCUGUUAUUAGGGAAGAACAUAUGUGUAAGUAACUGUGCACAUCUUGACGGUACCUAAUCAGAAAGCCACGGCUAACUACGUG